CUUACUGGCAGGGCGCCCACUUUCAGAUACAAAUCAACCCACCAGAGAUGUAAAUUACGUAAUAGGCUAACGAGCAUCUCUAACUUAAGCUAGCAACCGUAGAAUAGACCACCAAGUCGCUGUAAAUUCAGCAAUCAACUCUACAAUAGGUUAAAUAAGGUACAGACAUAUUUUGAUAUUUAGCCUUCCAAGUUUUCUAAGCUUUAGAUUUUUGGAGUAGCUGAACAUUGAACCAUUCAUUUGAACCUAAAUUAUACCUUUGACCCCUGUAGCUCAUGUGCUUGAGAGAGAGGGGAUAUGAAACACUACCAUGCAGCAUUCUGUAGCUUGAACUUUCAGUUUGACUUGAGCUUCACUUACUGCUUGUUAUCCACAUGUUACCUUGUAUCUGAACCUACCACCUAGUGGUAUAUUAGUUCAUAAUUGUUUGGACAAAUAAUCGACAGGAUAUGCUGAUGUUGACACGAAAGGUGGGGUCAUUCAGAUUAUAAAAAAACAUGUGGACACGUUACUCCAAUCUUACAUUUCAUCCUCACUCAGUUCAUCACGUUAAGUUUGUCUUAACAAACCAAUAUAACAUAUUUGGAUGUAUCCGUUUUCAACUCUCAAAGACUGUGGUGGAGAAUCCAAUAAUGCAGACCAUGGAUAUUGAUGACGACACGUCUCCCAACAAGCCCAGUGUUACAUUUUCAGCUAAUUUUCAGUGGUGGAAGAGACCCUCUGGAGUUGCUGCAGUGUGUCUUGGGCUGCUGUGUGUUCUUCUAUUGGCUGGGGAUCUUAGGCCUGUUUGUCUACUAUGGAGUCAUUGAUCAUCACUACUCAACAGAGAGAGACCAACAGACCAGUUACAGCCUUCUGACUAAAGAAGGAGAUCAGCAACCCAACAGCUAUCAUAACUUGACUAAAGAGGAAGACCAUCUACAGACCAGUUAUAACACCCUGACUAAAGAGAGAGACCAGUUUCAGAAAGAGAAAGACCAGAUACAGACUAGUUACAACACUCUGACUAAAGAGAGAGACCAGCUACAGAGAAGCUAUAACACCCUGACUAAAGAGAGAGACCAGCUACACACCAGUUACAACACCCCUGACUAAAGAGAGAGACCAGCUACAGAGCAGUUACAACACCCUGACUGAAGAGAGAGACCAGCUACAGAGCAGUUACAACAACCUGACUGAAGAGAGAGACCAGCUACAGAGCAGUUACAACAACCUGACUGAAGAGAGAGACCAGCUACAGAAUAGUCUCACAACCAAAAGUAAGGAGAAAUAUCAGUUGCAGAAUUCUCUCACCACACAAACACAGGAAAGUGAUCAAUUCAGAAUAGCCUGAACAAAAAAAACUAAGGAGAGAGACCAGCUACAGAAUAGUCUAAAUACCAGGACCACAGAGAGAGACCAGCACAGAAAAGUCUAAAUAACAGGACCACUGAGCGAGACCAGCUACAAAAUAGCCUAAAUACCAGGACUACAGAGAGAGACCAGCUACAAAAUAUUCUCAUCACAAGGACCAAAGACAGGGAUCAGCAGCAAAAUAGUCUUAAAGUUAUGACUGCUGAAAGAGAUCUAUUAAAGAAUAGUCUUAACUCAAGGACAAAAGAGAGAGACCAGUUGCAGAAUAGUCUAAAUACCAGGACCACAGAGAAAAACCAGCUACAGAAUAGUCUCACAACUAAAACUAAGGAGAGAGACCAGUUUGCAGAAUAGUCUAAUACCAGGACUGCAGAGAAAAACCAGCUACAGAAUAGUCUCACAACCAAAACCUAAGGAGAGAGACCAGUUGCAGAAUAGUCUAAAUACCAGGACUGCAGAGAAAAACCAGCUACAGAAUAGUCUCACAACCAAAACUAAGGAGAGAGACCAGUUGCAGAAUAAGCUCACCACAAUAACUCUGGAAAGAGACCAGUUACAGACCAGGCUUAAGUUCUAUGGUGAGUGCAGUCUUUUAUUCUCAUAAUUUAGAAUUAUAAUUUCAUUUCAUACUUAGAAGAGAUGUAAUAUAUUUGUAGACUUUUAAAUGCCUGCUGUUCUGUUGUGAUUAUCUCAGAGAAACCCUGUCUGGAUGGAUGGUGGAAGUUUGGCACCAGCUGUUAUUUUCUCUCCUCCACGAUGAAAGGAGCUGCGAGUGGUCAGAAGGAGUGCAGAACAAUCGGUGCUGACUUGGUUAUUAUAAACAGCAGAGAAGACAGGUAAUAGAUAAUACAUUAGUAAUACUAUAAUACUACUGUUUCAUUAUUAUUGUUAUUAUUAAAAGUAUUAUUAUUAUCUAUCUUCUCUGACUAGUAUUCAACACUUGUAACCAAUUGUAUCACCAAUGUUCAUGUCACUGUCAAUUUAUAAAAAUAUACUUCCUGUCAG
ensembl:lncRNA